AAUAUUAUAGUCGUCCCGUCGCCCGCCGCGGUGUAUCCGACACACACGACCGGUACACGCUUCGUCGUCGCCACCGCCGUAAGUAAUAAUAACCUCUCUCUCUCUCUCUAUCCGCGGACUGCAAUUAUAAUUAUAAUAUUUGUCGUAUACUCGCGCGUCCCCUAUUUGUCGUAACUAUGUCGUUGGAAUUAUCAACGAUUUUGGCACAACGACUGUUCGAUUCCGCGUACGUUUCCGACCGGCGGUGCGCGUCGCGUUCAUCUCGUGAGCGCGCGCCUCGCGCACUAUAGAAAAUUAAAUACAAUAAUAAAACGUGCAGAGAAACGUAACUGGGUGACCGAAAUGGUCGCCGCCGACAUCGAACCGAAUGAACGAAUGGAAUUUUCGACAACGCCGGGGCGCGAGCCACACACCGCACCGGGCGCGUCGUGUUUUUCGCGCGGCCGAAAAAUCCGUCGGACUGCAUGGAAUAACGCGCAGCCGUUUUUUUUUUAUCUCGUUUACCUCAACCGAUUCUCUCUCUCUCUCUCCCCCUCCCCAUUCCAUUCAACUCUAGAAGGGAGUUUCCCGGUCUUUAAUCGAAAACCACGGCGCGGUUUAUUCGUGGGGGGUGGUGGAGGGGAGGGAGGAAAUUACGAAAACCACGGCCGAAAGUGUCGCACGCCGAACGAUAUUUCGCGACCUUUGAACGUCAACGAACGCGUUGCAAAAAUUAUAUCAACGACCCAUAAUAAGGAUACGAUAAGGAUAAUAACGAGGAGCGCCGAGAACCCUGUUAUUAUAUUGUUGACAUUACGGCGACUAUGACGACGAUAAUAUAAUAAUAAUAAUAAUAUGGUCGGGGACGCGGUUCGGCGAUUUCUCAUUUUUUAUCGCUCUCUCUCUCGAUAUAUACGGGGCAUGAUUGAUUAAGUAUGCCCACUCCGUUUUUAGGGGUAUGCGCAUUAUAUUUCCGUACGUGAAUUUUGAUUUAAAGAGUUUUCAAUGUUCCGCGUUUAAAAUCAGGCAGUACAUGGGAGAGUGAUGCAGUGUGUGAACUGUAAUUUGUCCAGCGACACUGCGCCUCCGGUGUUCGCACAGUGCUGCUCCCCCUGCCCAAACUUAAAAACGGAAUAUCUCGCGAACGCGUUUGACGGGAAAUCGAAAACGAAUUUUAACUAAUAUGCUCUAUCUACGUAUGCAAUUUAUUUAACAUGCACGUACAAUAAGUUCUCAUAUGAGAAAAAAACCAAAGUCCAUAUCGCCGUCGGGAUACUCCCGGAGUGCUGUGGAAUACACCGAGUGUACGGAAAUAUCAGGGCGCGCUGAAAAUUUCGAACGUGGACAUAAUGAGCAUAAUUUGCCCCUGAAAUUGUCGUUACCGUGCUUAAUACCACUGUGUCCAUACACAUUGUAAUACAACACACCUUGCUGGGCAUAUUGUUCCGACGAAAAUCGGUCCGCGGGAAUGCGCCGCACCGGAAAACCCGAAAAUCCCACAGCUGCACGCGCCGUGUUCGCGUGGAAACCAAACAGUCAAUUAAUAAUAACUCGUUUAACUCGACCGGGAACGCGGCGUCGCCCCGUUAAACCGUCGCAACAGCAGCGGCGGCAGUAACGGUUUCCGUCGUCGUUAAUUUAAUUCCCGGGCCGUUUACGCGCGCGCGAAUCUCCGCGGCGGAAACGGCGACAAGGGGACGAGCGGGCCGGUCGAAAAAUACAUUACGGUGACCCGCACCGUGCCGCGUAUGAAAAUAGGUGUCCCCCCCGCCCCCCGAAGCCUUAUUAUUACGGUAAGUUUUUGAUUUGAUAAUACUUUUGAAAAACCGCAGUGUGCUGUACCCGCAAAAAUAAUAGUGUUCUCUUCGAAAUGUCAUUUAACGGGAAGUUAUAAGCCGCCGUACUUGGCGAUGGGAAAAAAAAAGGAGUAGAAUGUAGAAUUUUUUUUUUUCAAAUAAGAAUUUUAAUACCGUAUUUCGAUGAAAAUCCUAAAUAUUACGACACGUCAAAACAUACGUCAUAUAAAUGAACUCGGCUCAGAAACGUUUUUCGUUAGCAAUGAUUGAUCGUCGCGUACAUUAAAUUGCGCUCUAAUAUCCUACCUUCCCAACUUAUCACUUACAAACAGUGGCCCGCCCAUCGUUCGAAGUAUGUCCGUCUUAUUUAACUUUUGUUUUUAUCACCAAUAAUUAGCGGAUAAUUAUUAAUUAUCCGCUGACUGUUAUAAAUAAGUAUAGGUACUGUUAUACAAAUUUAAUUUCUAACCAUUAAUCGUAUUUGUGGUUCAUGGUUGAUAUAUAGGUGAACAGUAUAUUUAUGGAUAUUAGAUAGCAUAUAUCAUAAAUAAAACAUGAUAAAGACAUUUUUUACUUACCGCAGUUUAUAACCGUAAUCAUUUAUCAGUACAAUAGUUAAAUAAAUAUUAUCAAAAUACAUGCAAAUACGCAUAAAUAACAAUACCCAUAAUACAAUUUCUAAAAUUGAUUAAUAGAUAUAUAUUACUAUAAUAAUAAAUAAUAAAAUGAAAGUAAAUAUUUAUACAAAAUUCAGAACAUCGAAAACUGGAAAUUAUUUAACUAAAAAAUACAUAUAGUUGUUAAAGCUGUUUAGCCGGCAUCUAUACAGAGUUCUUUUUUAAUCACGAAACAGCAAUUUUCUCGGAAAGUUUCAAGCGAAUUUGAUUUCUGUUUUUUUUUAAUCAUUAUGGAAUCGGUUAAGCACUACAUAACGCCCAAAUUUUUUGGUUUUCACCACUUAGUACAAUUUAUAAUGUACCUCGUGUUAAGUUUUAUGUCAAUUUAAUAAAUAACACACUAAUACAUUUAGGCGAAUAAGCUGAAGUAAAAUAAACUUAAUCCAAAUACUGUUUUUACCAAAAUGAUUUGAUUUUGCAUGUAGGCUCUAUAUGGUACGUUUUGUAGAAAAAAUAUUUUCAAAUUUUUUGUGACACUUUUAAGCAAUUAUUAGAGUUUAUUUUAAGAAAAAAAGGUAAUCUCGUCGUGUAAAAAAAAAAAAAAAAAAAAAAAAACGAACAAAACAUAGACGAGAAAUCAAAUAAUUAAAAUAUGUUUUCAAAAUUACAAUCGCAAGUGGUAGAAUUUAACGCCCCUCAAUUCACUCCUACUAAUCCAAGGUUCGAAAUGCCAGCCUCUGCGAUUAUUGUCCUGCGACCUGGUCUCUAAAUAAAGUUAAUAGAUGACUAUUAGCAUUAUAUAUUAUAUGUAUAUAUAUAUAUAUAUAUAUAUAUAUAUAUGCUAUUACCAUACGAUAUCCGCACAGCACAGGGAUUGCACUACAAAAAUUAAUAACAAUGUUUUGCUUUUUUUUUUUUAUUUUCAUUCGUGUUACCAAAGUAACACGUAAAUCGACAAAAAUAUAAAACCUAAAACCGAAUUUUACGGAAUGGUAUUCGAUACGUGGUGCGUAUCUGCUGCAAUAGCUAUAAAUAAACUUUAUUCUCCGCGGACAACGUGGAACAACUUCGCCAAAGUUUCGUGACGGUCGGACGCGAGUAGGCAGUUAGGGGUUCGCCAAAAACCAUAAGUAUCGCGUAUUUACUGUACGCCGUAUUAUUCAAGUUCUAUUAAACGAUUUUUGAAGGGGUCGUCAUAAACGAGAGGAAAAAAGGUGGUCGCGAUUCGCAAAAGGUUGAAAACCGUCGGUGUACAGUAAAAGCAUAAAGGGCAAACAGUAAGACACACAUUCGUUUUUAUAUGUAAGCAUGUAUAAUAGAAGAUCAUAUUAUUAUUAUUACUAUAAUUAAUUGUUAUUCGGAAACAAAAUAUUGUGUUCUAUAACGAAUGUAU